GUUAAGCGACUAAGCGUACACGGUGGAUGCCCUGGCAGUCAGAGGCGAUGAAGGACGUGCUAAUCUGCGAUAAGCGUCGGUAAGGUGAUAUGAACCGUUAUAACCGGCGAUUUCCGAAUGGGGAAACCCAGUGUGAUUCGUCACACUAUCAUUAACUGAAUCCAUAGGUUAAUGAGGCGAACCGGGGGAACUGAAACAUCUAAGUACCCCGAGGAAAAGAAAUCAACCGAGAUUCCCCCAGUAGCGGCGAGCGAACGGGGAGGAGCCCAGAGCCUGAAUCAGUGUGUGUGUUAGUGGAAGCGUCUGGAAAGGCGCGCGAUACAGGGUGACAGCCCCGUACACAAAAAUGCACAUGCUGUGAGCUCGAUGAGUAGGGCGGGACACGUGGUAUCCUGUCUGAAUAUGGGGGGACCAUCCUCCAAGGCUAAAUACUCCUGACUGACCGAUAGUGAACCAGUACCGUGAGGGAAAGGCGAAAAGAACCCCGGCGAGGGGAGUGAAAAAGAACCUGAAACCGUGUACGUACAAGCAGUGGGAGCACAGAGCAAUCUGUGUGACUGCGUACCUUUUGUAUAAUGGGUCAGCGACUUAUAUUCUGUAGCAAGGUUAACCGAAUAGGGGAGCCGAAGGGAAACCGAGUCUUAACUGGGCGUUAAGUUGCAGGGUAUAGACCCGAAACCCGGUGAUCUAGCCAUGGGCAGGUUGAAGGUUGGGUAACACUAACUGGAGGACCGAACCGACUAAUGUUGAAAAAUUAGCGGAUGACUUGUGGCUGGGGGUGAAAGGCCAAUCAAACCGGGAGAUAGCUGGUUCUCCCCGAAAGCUAUUUAGGUAGCGCCUCGUGAAUUCAUCUCCGGGGGUAGAGCACUGUUUCGGCAAGGGGGUCAUCCCGACUUACCAACCCGAUGCAAACUGCGAAUACCGGAGAAUGUUAUCACGGGAGACACACGGCGGGUGCUAACGUCCGUCGUGAAGAGGGAAACAACCCAGACCGCCAGCUAAGGUCCCAAAGUCAUGGUUAAGUGGGAAACGAUGUGGGAAGGCCCAGACAGCCAGGAUGUUGGCUUAGAAGCAGCCAUCAUUUAAAGAAAGCGUAAUAGCUCACUGGUCGAGUCGGCCUGCGCGGAAGAUGUAACGGGGCUAAACCAUGCACCGAAGCUGCGGCAGCGACGCUUAUGCGUUGUUGGGUAGGGGAGCGUUCUGUAAGCCUGCGAAGGUGUGCUGUGAGGCAUGCUGGAGGUAUCAGAAGUGCGAAUGCUGACAUAAGUAACGAUAAAGCGGGUGAAAAGCCCGCUCGCCGGAAGACCAAGGGUUCCUGUCCAACGUUAAUCGGGGCAGGGUGAGUCGACCCCUAAGGCGAGGCCGAAAGGCGUAGUCGAUGGGAAACAGGUUAAUAUUCCUGUACUUGGUGUUACUGCGAAGGGGGGACGGAGAAGGCUAUGUUGGCCGGGCGACGGUUGUCCCGGUUUAAGCGUGUAGGCUGGUUUUCCAGGCAAAUCCGGAAAAUCAAGGCUGAGGCGUGAUGACGAGGCACUACGGUGCUGAAGCAACAAAUGCCCUGCUUCCAGGAAAAGCCUCUAAGCAUCAGGUAACAUCAAAUCGUACCCCAAACCGACACAGGUGGUCAGGUAGAGAAUACCAAGGCGCUUGAGAGAACUCGGGUGAAGGAACUAGGCAAAAUGGUGCCGUAACUUCGGGAGAAGGCACGCUGAUAUGUAGGUGAAGCGACUUGCUCGUGGAGCUGAAAUCAGUCGAAGAUACCAGCUGGCUGCAACUGUUUAUUAAAAACACAGCACUGUGCAAACACGAAAGUGGACGUAUACGGUGUGACGCCUGCCCGGUGCCGGAA
rnacentral:rRNA from 1 species